rnacentral:rRNA from 1 species
UACAGAGGUCUCAAGCGUUGUUCGGAUUCAUUGGGCGUAAAGGGUGUGUAGGUGGCGCGCUAAGUCGGGUGUGAAAUUUCGGAGCUUAACUCCGAGACUGCAUUCGAUACUGGCGUGCUUGAGGACUGGAGAGGAGACUGGAAUUCAUGGUGUAGCAGUGAAAUGCGUAGAGAUCAUGAGGAAGACCAGUGGCGAAGGCGGGUCUCUGGACAGUUCCUGACACUGAGACACGAAGGCCAGGGGAGCAAACGGG